UCUUACUUUCAUAGCAAGUGUCACACUCACUGACUCACACACGUUUACUCUUGUUUUUUUUUUUGUUUUUUCUUCUUUUUUUUUUCCCUUAAAUCUAUAACCACACAUUACCACCUACCCACAAGGCCACAAAUCAGAUUCAAACUCCUUUUUAAAUCAGAUUCCAUUUCCCACAUAAAAAUUUUCAUUUCCCAUUUAACCUUUCAUUUCCCACUACACAAAACUUUCAUUUUCCCACUACACAAAUAUUUCAUUUCCCACCACACAAAACUCUCUCAUUUUCUCUGUAUCUCACACGGCCUCUCACAUUCACACACACACACACAUACACACACACACACACAGCCCUGCUUGCCCCGACAAGUAAAGCCCAGCCUAGCGUUGAUGAGCUGAACCGAGCCCAACUUAGCACCGCCGAUCCCAGCCCAACCCAGUGCUGAUGCCAAGCAAAACCCAACCCGUCGACUCCUCUCCUCCUCGAUCUCUCCACCAUCAACCGAUACCCAUCGGCCCUCUCUCCCUCACCAGAAGAUCCUCUCUCCCCUCACCAACUCCUGCCAUAGCCACAACUGCCGCCCUCUGCCCACCCCAUACCCAUUCCUUUUUCCUCACCAUACCCAUACCAAUACCCAUUUUGAUUUUUGCUUGAUGUUCCUCUAGUCCAACGAUCCCCAGUUCUCCAAAAAUCAUCAACUGCAUCCCAUCAACCAAGCAACUUAUAAGUUUUAUCUUGGUGUUUAAGGAUUUUGUUUUGUGUACAAAGAACUAUGGAAGAACAACCGCAUUUUUUGCAAGUGUAGAAUGAUAUUUUAAAACACUUUGGAACUUUGAUUAUAGUAUUAGCUUAAUUUGAGCAGUUGUUUUAUUCAAAGAACCACAUCUUUUUUUGUUAAUCUUAUGAUGAUUGUUAUAGAGAAUGUUAUAUUUGAUAAUAUAUUUCUAUGUUAAUAUUACGUUAGUUUGGAGACAUUUGUGGUGUUGUUAAUUAGUUACAUUUGUGGUAUUAUGCUAGUGUGGACACGGCCACGUGAUGCCUCUCGGGAUGGGUUUUCAAGAAAAUAAAGGUUUGAUCUUGAGAGUAUUUUUUUAUUAGAAAAAUCACAAGUCUGAAAAAAGUUGAGGAGUCGCCACUUAUUUUAUUAUUUUUUUUUAAGGGAAAAUAAAACAAGAAAUAAAACCCUUUCUUUUUUAUUUGAUUGACUCAAUGGAUAAGAAAAAUGGUCUACAUCCACCAAGGACAAGUUCAGGGGUCAAAUUACGUCGUGAGAAGGUAUGAGGCACCCAUGCAUGCCCGGUAUGUCUAUCGGUCUCUACUAAAUAAGUAAGGACUAUUUGAUAUUCAAUUAAUCGUUCAAUGGGCACAAUAUUAUUAAUCGAAUUCAUUACACCAAAUCAAGCAAGUAGUUGAUUUUAUGACAUGGUGGCCUAAAGCUAAAUCAUAAGACAAAAUAAUGAUGAUAAAAAUAAGCAACAAGUUAAUAACGAAACAAAAUAAUGACAAAGAAAUUAACAACUACUAUAUAUAUAUAUAUAUAUAUAAACAUGUGUAAGCUUAAACUCUUCCAAGUCAUGAUCUGAGCAACAUGAGAAGAUUUCAUUUUAAGGGAACCAGUGGGAUUACUUUUUUUUUUAGAGAAGAGUUGGCUUAAUCAGAUUAGUUUGUGACUUGGUUUUGAUUUGAAGUAGGAAAUGAAAUAUAUUUUUAUUUCUAUUUUUGGAAACCGAAAACAUGGACUUUGUAAAAAAAAUAAAGCAUAUUCUUAUUUUUGUUUGUGAAAACCGAAGACAUAAACUUGUUUUUGAUUUGAAGUAAUAAUAAUAAUAAUAAUAAUGAUAAUAAGAGUAAUAAUAAUAAAGUACAUUUUUAUUUUUUCUUGUGGAAACCGAAAUUAAGGACUUGCCUCUGAUUUGAAGUAACAAAACAAAGUAUAUUUUUUCAUUUUGUUUGUGUAAACCAAAAUCAUGAGAGUUGUUGGAAACAACAUGAGUCUAACCAACAUGUAGAGGCUAGCUACGGUGGGAAAGGAAAAAGAAAGAAAGCUAUGUCUUCUCACAAGUUUUCAAUGUAGAGGCCCCAACUUUUAAGAAGUCACAUGCAUGAUUUAACCCCACUAUUCUCUUUUAGCUUUCUUUCAUUACUUAACCGGUUAUCAAAACAAAGCUUUCUUUUAUUACAAACAAGUUUUAUUCAUUGUUCACAAGACAGCCAAGCCUUAACAUUCAGACAGAAAAAAAAAAAAAACAAAAAAAACAAAAAAAACAAAACAAAACAAAUACCCAGCAAAACGCCUAGCAAAUACCCAGCAAAGCUAUGACUUCAAACCACUGAAUCACACAAGAAUAAAGAGUGGGAAGGUUGAAAACAUACCUAGCUCCCUUGGACAAGUUUGAUGGUGACUCCGUUGAGAUGAACAGCAACGACAACGGCGCUCUUUGAUGGAUGGCCCUCCCACCACGCGAUACUCCACCGACAAUGGUUGACGGAGAAGUGCUGAAAUACCUGUGUAUAGUGUGAGAUUUGUCCCCCCUCAGGACCGGGUUUACUCCUAAGAAAUUUCAAUCUCUCAAUGUUUUUUUUUUUUUUUGUGUUUUUUGAAAGCUUUUUUGAAAAUUAGAAUGCAAAAAAAAGGUGUCCUCAAAAUGAUUUUUUUGGAGCUGAGAAAUAGAUCCGCCCCUUUGUUCUUGAAUCCAAUGGAAAACAAAAAAAAAAAA